GCCCGGCCAGCUCAGUUGGUACAGCAUCAGGCUUUUAAUCUGAGGAUCAUGGGUUCGAGUCCCAUGUUGGGCG
rnacentral:tRNA from 1 species